UGCAGUCGAGCGAAUGGAUUAAGAGCUUGCUCUUAUGAAGUUAGCGGCGGACGGGUGAGUAACACGUGGGUAACCUGCCCAUAAGACUGGGAUAACUCCGGGAAACCGGGGCUAAUACCGGAUAACAUUUUGAACCGCAUGGUUCGAAAUUGAAAGGCGGCUUCGGCUGUCACUUAUGGAUGGACCCGCGUCGCAUUAGCUAGUUGGUGAGGUAACGGCUCACCAAGGCAACGAUGCGUAGCCGACCUGAGAGGGUGAUCGGCCACACUGGGACUGAGACACGGCCCAGACUCCUACGGGAGGCAGCAGUAGGGAAUCUUCCGCAAUGGACGAAAGUCUGACGGAGCAACGCCGCGUGAGUGAUGAAGGCUUUCGGGUCGUAAAACUCAGUUGUUAGGGAAGAACAAGUGCUAGUUGAAUAAGCUGGCACCUUGACGGUACCUAACCAGAAAGCCACGGCUAACUACGUGCCAGCAGCCGCGGUAAUACGUAGGUGGCAAGCGUUAUCCGGAAUUAUUGGGCGUAAAGCGCGCGCAGGUGGUUUCUUAAGUCUGAUGUGA
rnacentral:rRNA from 1 species